rnacentral:rRNA from 1 species
CCUACGGUGUGCAGCAGUGGGGAAUAUUGCACAAUGGACGAAACUCUGAUCCAGCGACGCCGCGUGCGUGAAGACGUAUUUCGUUAUGUAAAGCUCUAUCAGCAGGGAAGAAAAUGACGGUACCUGAGUAAGAAGCCCCGGCUAACUCCGUGCCAGCAGCCGCGGUAAUACGUAGGGGGCAAGCGUUAUCCGGAUUUACUGGGUGUAAAGGGAGCGUAGACGGCAGUGCAAGUCUGGAGUGAAAGGCGGGGGCUCAACCCCCGGACUGCUUUGGAAACUGUACGGCUGGAGUGCAGGAGAGGUAAGUGGAAUUUCUAGUGUAGCGGUGAAAUGCGUAGAGAUUA